rnacentral:rRNA from 1 species
UACGUAGGGUGCGAGCGUUGCCCGGAAUUACUGGGCGUAAAGAGCUCGUAGGUGGUUUGUCGCGUUGUCCGUGAAAACUCACAACUCAAUUGUGGGCGUGCGGGCGAUACGGGCAGACUGGAGUACUGCAGGGGAGACUGGAAUUCCUGGUGUAGCGGUGGAAUGCGCAGAUAUCAGGAGGAACACCGGUGGCGAAGGCGGGUCUCUGGGCAGUAACUGACGCUGAGGAGCGAAAGCCAGGGGAGCAAACGGG